GGAGCCGUGCCGUAGUGGUUAGCGGAGCGGUUUGCUAAACCGCCCUCCCCCACAAGGGGAGCGUGGGUUCGAAUCCCACCGGCUCCGCCU
rnacentral:tRNA from 1 species